rnacentral:rRNA from 1 species
CCUACGGGGGGCUGCAGUGAGGAAUAUUGGUCAAUGGACGAGAGUCUGAACCAGCCAAGUAGCGUGAAGGAUGACUGCCCUAUGGGUUGUAAACUUCUUUUAUAUGGGAAUAAAAUGUUCCACGUGUGGGAUUUUGUAUGUACCAUAUGAAUAAGGAUCGGCUAACUCCGUGCCAGCAGCCGCGGUAAUACGGAGGAUCCGAGCGUUAUCCGGAUUUAUUGGGUUUAACGGGAGCGUAGGUGGAUUGUUAAGGCAGUUGUGAAAGUUUGCGGCUCAACCGUAAAAUUGCAGUUGAAACUGGCAGUCUUGAGUACAGUAGAGGUGGGCGGAAUUCGUGGUGUAGCGGUGAAAUGCUUAGAUAUCACGAAGAACUCCGAUUGCGAAGGCAGUUCACUGGACUGCAACUGACACUGAGGCUCGAAAGUGUGGGUAUCAAACAGGAUUAGAUACCCUGGUAGUC